rnacentral:lncRNA from 1 species
AGCGCCGUGUGCAGCACUGACCCUGGGGCUCCCUGCACUCACAGCCCCGUGCUGCAAUGCGAUGCAAUGCGAUGCAAUGCAAUGCGAUGCAAUGCGAUGCAAUGCAAUGCUCGCUGCUCGCUGCCCCCGCUCCGCUCUGCAGCCCAGUGCUCCCUAUUCCCAAUGCUCCCUGUUCCCAAACGUGGUUUCAUGGCACUGCCCAGCAGCACACACCUCCCUGCUCUGCGCUGCUUCCCCUGCUCGCAGCUGCUUCUUCCCAUCUCCCAUUCCCCGUCAUUCCCCAUUCCCCGUUUCCCAAUGCCCACUCUCCAUUAUUUCCCAUUCCCAGCUCCCCAUUCCCCAUUCUUUCCAUUCCCCAUUCCUUACUUCCCAUUCUCAUUUCCCACCAUUUCCCAUUCCCCGUGAUCCCCCAUCCCCACUCCCCAUUUUUCCCCACUGUUCCCAUUCCCCAGCCCCCAUUAUUCCCCAUUAUUCCCCACUCUCCGCUCCCCAUUAUCCCCCCCCAUUCCCCAUUAUUCCCCACUCCCCACUAUUCCCCAUUUUUCCCCACCGUUCCCCACUCCUCCCCACUGCUCCCCCCAUUUCCCUCCCCCCAUUUCCCCCCCUGCACCGUUCCCAUCUGCAGCACAGCGCUGCCGAACAAAGGACCCCGGAGCAGAGCCCGGCCCCGUCCUGCACUUUUUACCCCAUUUUUCCAAAGGGAAAUCAAAAUGUGCAGCACAUGAACCCACUGCAGCGGUGGGGGGGUAAGGGGGGGGCACCCACAGCGCCUCCAAACGCUGAAAAAAGGGGAAAAGCAGAAAAUGCCCCAUUCUGCAGCUCCUUCUGCUGGGGAAAGCAAUGGGAGGGCUUCAGGUCACGGGGGGAUGAACAGAGCCCCGCUCCCCCCAAACCCCCCCAGUGCUAUGGCACUGAAUUUCUCUAAACCCUCUCAUUUUGCUCCAACCAGGAUUUUUUUUUUUAUUUUUUUUAUUUUUUACAUUUUUUGGUAUUUUUCCUCAUGUUUCCAUCCACGUUUUUCGGGCGCUUUGGCAGCGCUCGGCGCCCGCCUCCCCCCCCAACCCCCCCCCAACCCCACGCAGCAAAAAAAAAACAAAAAAAANNNNNNNNNNNNNNNNNNNNNNNNNNNNNNNNNNNNNN